rnacentral:rRNA from 1 species
UACGUAGGCAACGAGCGUUGUUCGGAGUUACUGGGCGUAAAGGGUGUGUAGGCGGUUGUUUAAGUUUGGUGUGAAAUCUCCCGGCUCAACUGGGAGGGUGCGCCGAAUACUGAAUGACUUGGAGUGCGGGAGAGGAGAGUGGAAUUCCUGGUGUAGCGGUGAAAUGCGUAGAUAUCAGGAGGAACACCGGUGGUGUAGACGGCUCUCUGGACCGUAACUGACGCUGAGACACGAAAGCGUGGGUAGCAAACAGG